rnacentral:lncRNA from 1 species
AAUUCAAUUAAAUUAUUCAAAUUGGCCCGGACAAGAUCAAAUUGUACCAAAUUGGAUGCAAGUGCCAUUACAAUAAUUUGGAGGACUUCUUUGCAAUUAUCGGAUUUGAGCCAGUCAACCUAGUCAAGUUGUUCAAUUCACCUUUUGGGUUUAAUUUGUGCUUAAUGUCAAAUUAGCCAUUAUUUUAAUAUGGUAUGAAAGUGAUUUUAUGUAUGGUAUAAAUUCAAACAUGAUUUUAUUAUGGUAUGAAUUUGAAAAUGGGAAAUAUGAUAUAAAUGUAUUUUACAAGUUUGGUAUUAUUUCAAAAGCUUUUACAAAUGUGAAAUGACUUCAAAAAGUUUUCAUUUGUAGUAUUAAUUUAAAAGGAUUUUACAAAUUUGGUAUAAUUUCAAAUGAGCUUUUCAAUAUAGUAAUAUUUCAAAUGAGUUUUGCAAAUGUGGUAUGAAUUCAAAUUUAUUUUGGAAUUAAUUCAAAUACAUUUGCAAAUAUGGUUAAAAUUCAAAUUGAAAUCAAUUAUGAUUUAAUUAUGGUUUUGUUUCAUUUUUGAAAUGAUGGCUAGUGUAUUUAAAGGGAGGCUUGGAUGUUGUUUGUACACAACUUCAGAAAAAUUCUUUAAGUCCUAAUUGUUCAUUGAUUUGUAAUUAUGAGCUUCUUGAGAGAUUGUAAAAGAAGUUUUGUGUGAUUGUAAGUGGCUUUAGUCUUGCCCUAUUCAAAAGGCCAAGUGAUAGUGAAAUCAGUACCUCGAGGAGAAGAAGGACCGGACUGGAGUAGGCAGAAGGGCCGAACUAGGAUAAAUCAUCUGUGUUAUCUGAGUUUGAUUUUCUUCUUUUAUUUAGUUGUGCAAUUUUUAUCUGGAUUUAAUUUUACUUGAGUUUUUAGUUGUCAACUAAUUCAGCCCCCCUCUUAGUUGCCAUUUGAUCCUUCAUUUGGUAUCAGAGAGCAGGUCUCACUGUUGCAGACUAACUGUCUCAUGAGAUGGCAACUUUUCACGCUAUCAUUGAAGGCCAAUCCAUCGCUCAUCCUUCUUUCUUUAAUGGGAGUAACUACACCUAUUGGAAGGUGCGGAUGCAGAUUUUUCUACAAUCCCUAGAUUUUGAUCUUUGGGGCAUUGUAGAAAAUGGCUACACUAAGCCUACCACGGCAACUAGCACAUGGAAGGCAGAGGACAAAGGUAAAUUUAAUUUGAACUCUAAAGCGAUGAAUGCUCUUCAUUGUGCUCUUGACUCAAACGAGUUCAACCGAAUUUCUACAUGCAAAACUGCAAAAGAAAUUUGGGAUAAAUUAGCCGUUGUUCACGAGGGGACAAAUCAAGUAAAAGAGUCUAAGAUAAAUAUGCUUACUCGCGAUUAUGAAAUGUUUUGUAUGCAACCAAAUGAAAGCAUUACUGAUAUGUAUACUAGAUUUACCAAUAUUAUUAAUAGUCUAAAGGCUUUGGGAAAGGCUUUUUCUGAUGCAGAUCUUGUUAGAAAAAUAAUCAGAAGUUUUCCUCAAAAUGGACCUUGGGAACCAAAGUUGGCGGCCAUUCAAGAAGCGCGCGACCUCGACAAAUUUUCAUUGGAGGAACUCAUAGGGUCUCUUAUGACUUAUGAGUUACGAUUGAAGAUAGAGCCUUCUACUUCCAUCAUCCAUACCGAAACGAAAAAUAUAGCCCUCAACUCUAACGAAGGAGAUAGAAGCGACUCUGACAAUGCCACUGACGACGAGAUCUCACAUCUUACUAGAAAAUUAAAAAAGAUCUUACAAAGAAAACACGGAGCUAAGUGGUCCGGCAAAGAUAAUGAUAGAUCUCACUUUUUUAAAAAAGAUGUAAAAUGCUACAAUUGUAAUAAAACAGGACACAUGAGUUAUGAUUGCCAAAACCAAAGUAAGUCUCCCUGAAAGGAGAAAAAGAAGAAUAAAGCCUUCUCCGCCGCUUGGAGUGAUGAUAGCGAUUCCGACAAGGAGGAAUCAACCAAGGAGGUCUCUAACUUAAGCCUCACCUAUGACGAUGCACCUUCGAAUUGUUGCUUCAUGACAAACAUAGAAGAUAAGGUAAAUGAUUUAACUUACGAUGAACUUUUAGAAGCUUUUUAUGAUCUUUAUGAUGAUCUCCAAAAAUUUGGUCCCAAAUAUGCUUCUUUAAAAAAAGAAAAUACAUCUUUAAUCUCAAAUUUAAAUUCAUUAAAAUCUGAAAAUAAAAGUUUAAAAACUGAGUUAAAUUUAUUAAAGAAGCAACUUGAGACCAAAAGUGAUGGCGAAAAUUAUAAAGAUACUAGUUUAUUUAAAACUGAAAAUGAAUCUCUAAAGAAGAACUUGAACGAUUCAAGAAAUACUUUAGAAAGAUUCAUUGGUAGCACAAAAGUUCUAAAUAUGAUGUUGGGUAAUCAAAGAUCCUAUUUGGAUAAAACUGGACUUGGAUAUCAACACAAGUUUAGUCAAAGAAAAAAUAUUUCUAAGCCAUUUGCAAAAUAUACAAACGGCAACAAGAAUGUGUUGUGUAUCUAUUGUAACAAAAUAGGGCAUCAUGUAACCCAAUAUCAAUUUAAAAAUAAGUUUAAACUUAGAUAACUUUGUGUGGUGAAAGGUUCUAACACAAGUGAACCCACAUCCAGGGUACCUUUCAUAGCUUAAAUUUUUGUAGGUAUACCUGCACUCAACAAAGUCAAGCGACAAAGGUUACUUGGACAGCGGGAGCUCAAGGCACAUGUUGGGCAACCCAACAAAUUUAUCAUCGCUUGAAUAUGAAGAGGGUGGGCGCAUAACCUUUGGAAAUAACUCCAAAGGUUGUACCAUUGGAAAAGGCUCAAUCGGUAACAAUUAAUUUUCUUUGUAUUUUUGGUGGAUUCUUAUCACUAUGGUUUAUCUUUCGUUUCAAUCAUUUUUUUUUUUUUUUUUUGGUAUAAGAUUUUCUGUGUAUUUUUUUAUAUCCUCCUUCAUCUUUUUAAAUUAUUUUUUUUGAUGAUAACAAAAGGGGGAGAAGAAAACGUUAUCUCAAAAUUAUUUUGAAAAUAUCUUUUUAUCGUGCUUAUUUUGAGGGGGAGUUUAUCUAUUACUUUAUUACCUUUUCAAAUUGUUUGUCAUCAUCAAAAAGGGGGAGAUUGUUGGAUUUUAUCCAAUAAUAAAUUUUGAAGAUAACAAACAAAUAUUGGAUUUAAUUUGUUACUUAGUAAUUUCAGGUUGUAGUUGAAUUUAAAAUGGCUCAAGCUGAACCGGAAUCAUGAUUUAAGGUAACAAUUCAAUUAAAUUAUUCAAAUUGGCCUGGACAAGAUCAAAUUGUACCAAAUUGGAUGCAAGUGCCAUUACAAUAAUUUGGAGGACUUCUUUGCAAUUAUCGGAUUUGAGCCAGUCAACCUAGUCAAGUUGUUCAAUUCACCUUUUCGGUUUAAUUUGUGCUUAAUGUCAAAUUAGCCAUUAUUUUAAUAUGGUAUGAAAGUGAUUUUAUGUAUGGUAUAAAUUCAAACAUGAUUUUAUUAUGGUAUGAAUUUGAAAAUGUGAAAUAUGAUAUAAAUGUAUUUUACAAGUUUGGUAUUAUUUCAAAAGCUUUUACAAAUGUGGAAUGAAU